ACGGAGAGUUUGAUCCUGGCUCAGAACUAACGCUGGCGGCGCGUCUUAAACAUGCAAGUGGAACGGUAAGGCUCGAGCUUGCUCGAGUACACGAGUCGCAAACGGGUGAGUAACACGUGGGUAAUCUGCCUUGAAGUGGGGGAUAGCUUCGGGAAACCGAAAUUAAUACCGCAUGUGCCAGUAAUGGUAAAGGGGGCUUCGGCUCUCGCUUCAAGAUGAGCCCGCGCACCAUUAGCUUGUUGGUGGGGUAAAAGCCUACCA
rnacentral:rRNA from 1 species